GUGCUUAUAUGAAAGGAGAGAAGAUUAGCACUCCCCUUGAGAAGGAUGGAAGAGGUCCUAGUAGGCUUUACAGCCCGUAUAUGGUUAAGGCACUUCCACCUACUUCAUGGCAUCUCACCAAGUUUUUAG